rnacentral:rRNA from 1 species
GACGAACGCUGGCGGCGUGCCUAAUACAUGCAAGUUGAGCGCUGAAGGUUGGUACUUGUACCAACUGGAUGAGCAGCGCACGGGUGAGUAACGCGUGGGGAAUCUGCCUUUGAGCGGGGGACAACAUUUGGAAACGAAUGCUAAUACCGCAUAAAAACUUUAAACACAAGUUUUAAGUUUGAAAGAUGCAAUUGCAUCACUCAAAGAUGAUCCCGCGUUGUAUUAGCUAGUUGGUGAGGUAAAGGCUCACCAAGGCGAUGAUACAUAGCCGACCUGAGAGGGUGGUCGGCCACAUUGGGACUGAGACACGGCCCAAACUCCUACGGGAGGCAGCAGUAGGGAAUCUUCGGCAAUGGACGAAAGUCUGACCGAGCAACGCCGCGGGAGUGAAGAAGGUUGUCGGAUCGUAAAACUCGGUUGGUAGAGAAGAACGUUGGUGAGAGUGGAAAGCUCAUCAAGUGACGGUAACUACCCAGAAAGGGACGGCUAACUACGUG